UGGGGAAUAUUGCACAAUGGGGGAAACCCUGAUGCAGCCAUGCCGCGUGAAUGAAGAAGGCCUUCGGGUUGUAAAGUUCUUUCGGUGAUGAGGAAGGUGGUAGUGUUAAUAGCAUUAUCAAUUGACGUUAGUCACAGAAGAAGCACCGGCUAACUCCGUGCCAGCAGCCGCGGUAAUACGGAGGGUGCGAGCGUUAAUCGGAAUAACUGGGCGUAAAGGGCACGCAGGCGGUAACUUAAGUGAGGUGUGAAAGCCCCGGGCUUAACCUGGGAAUUGCACUUCAUACUGGGUUACUAGAGUAUUUUAGGGAGGGGUAGAAUUCCAUGUGUAGCGGUGAAAUGCGUAGAGAUGUGGAGGAAUACCGAAGGCGAAGGCAGCCCCUUGGGAAUAUACUGACGCUCAUGUGCGAAAGCGUGGGGAGCAAACA
rnacentral:rRNA from 1 species